rnacentral:lncRNA from 1 species
GGGACCAGACACUGGAGUACAGGAACUUGGGGAAGAGAAGGAAGGAGAUGGAUCCCCAAGACUCAGGAAAGUAUUGAAGGGAGAAUUGGAGCCCAAAGGCAGAUGAAGGUGACAGAUCUCAAUGAACAAGAGUGUGGUUGCAAACUGUGCUUUCUCCCUGAUCUGUGGCUAAUUGGAAAACUGCAUUCUCCCUGACUACUAGGUCAUGGCAUGAGCGAAGAGGCUUGGGCCUACAGAGGUGUGAUGAUGGUGGGGGACCCUGGCAGCUUCCACAGAGAAACACACCAGUUGAGUGGAGCAGGAGAUGCUGUGGGCUGCAGCAGCUGGUCAUGGGGAGAAACAAGCUGACUUGUGGUGAGGACAUUUAGAUAGCCUCAUGGAAAGUCCCACCUGGGAAGGAAGAGAAACCUCCAACACCCAUGUAAAUGAGCCAUUCUGCAAGCACAUCCCCAAGACCCAAUCAAGCCUUCAGAUGACUACAGCCCAGCUACAGCUUGACUUCAACUUUAUGAGAGACUCUCAGUUACCAAGAGAAUUCUCCUGGGAAGGAUGAUGUCAUGUCAGCUCAAGAAACAAGAGCAUGUUGGAAGCAGCACUGGGAAAUUGAUCAAGACUAUAUUCUCUUCUAUUGCAAGAGGGAACUUGGCCUGCUCUAAGCAGGAAGAACUGUGCACAAGGCUGCAGGUGCUUUGUGGGCAGAGAGGUGCCUGCCAGCUCAGAAGAGUGCUGCUGCCUUGGAGGACUUAAAAGAAAAAUGGCUGUCCCGGAAUACUGCACCCGAAUACUGCACCAUGUGGGAAGGGAUUGAGCAAGUAUUUUGAAACAACAACAACCAACCAAACAAGAAGAAAACCUCACCUAAAAGUGUUCCAUUGGUUGGUUUCAUGGCUACAAUGAAAUGAGGAAUUUUGCUCUGCCGAGUCCUGCCAUCAUGAUGUCUCUGCUUUGGAGGCAGUUGAACAUGGACUGACACCUCUCAAAGCGUGAGCCAAAAUAAACCUCUCCUCCUUUACAUUACUGGUGCUGGUCAUUUUGUCCCAGCAACUGGAAAGCUGACUAAUACCCAGUCCUCAUGAGAUUAUGUCUGCUGACAUUGCACAGUGAACAGGGUGGCCACAUUGAUGUGUUGUUUUGCAAAAGAAGACAGCAGAGAGCUCACAGAUGGUGAGCCAGGUGCAGUCUAUUUUUUUGUAGGAACAGAGGGAGCAGGUUGGGGGUCUAAAGCAAGAAC